UUUAUUGGAGAGUUUGAUCCUGGCUCAGGAUGAACGCUGGCGGCGUGCCUAAUACAUGCAAGUCGAGCGAAUGGAUUAAGAGCUUGCUCUUAUGAAGUUAGCGGCGGACGGGUGAGUAACACGUGGGUAACCUGCCCAUAAGACUGGGAUAACUCCGGGAAACCGGGGCUAAUACCGGAUAACAUUUUGAACCGCAUGGUUCGAAAUUGAAAGGCGGCUUCGGCUGUCACUUAUGGAUGGACCCGCGUCGCAUUAGCUAGUUGGUGAGGUAACGGCUCACCAAGGCAACGAU
rnacentral:rRNA from 1 species